UUUGGGAAAAGCCAUAAUUUAGCUAUGCUUAUGGAGGCCUGCAAUAGCUGUUUAUCUAUUGAUAAGUUCUUAUGAGUAGAUAUCAUAAAGAAUUGUUUGGAAAUCAAUCAUGAUGAAAUUUAAUUUUAGCAAACAUUGUGUCAACAGAGAAUGGUAAUUUAAUAGCCUCCAUUGGAUAGUAACCAAUUACCCAAUCUCCUUCUCUGAGAUACACUUAUCAAAUAGGUUGAGUAAUUUUGAAACAAAAUGAAAGAAAGCUUCUUCUAUAAUUGCCAUGCUUUUUGUUUUCUAAUGCAGCUUGUUGAGUUUAUAUAG
rnacentral:lncRNA from 1 species